rnacentral:rRNA from 1 species
CAAUAGCGUAUAUUAAAGUUGUUGCAGUUAAAAAGCUCGUAGUUGGAUUUCUGGUGGGAGCGAUCGGUCUGGCGCUUAGCGCGAGUACUUGCAUCGUCUCCGGCAAUCCUUGGGGAGAGUCUGUCUGGCAUUAGGUUGUCGGGCAGAGGAUCCUCAUCGUUUACUGUGAAAAAAUUAGAGUGUUCAAAGCAGGCUUAUGCCGUUGAAUAUGUUAGCAUGGAAUAAUAAGAUAGGACUUUGGUACUAUUUUGUUGGUUUGCGCACCAAAGUAAUGAUUAAUAGGGACAGUUGGGGGUAUUCGUAUUCCGUUGUCAGAGGUGAAAUUCUUGGAUUUACGGAAGACGAACUACUGCGAAAGCAUUUACCAAGGAUGUUUUCAUUAA